UAGAAGGAUAUCUGGUUGCUUGUGGUCAAGGGAUCUCCAACUGCAUGCGAGAGCAACCUGGAGAGACUUUGACAGCCCACUCAACUUUCCUAUAAUG
rnacentral:snoRNA from 1 species